rnacentral:tRNA from 1 species
GCCCUCGUAGUUCAAUGGUAUGACACAGCAAUGGUAAUGCUGAGAUGCGAGUUCGAUUCUCGCCGAGGGCA